AGAAAGGUGGACUUCAGGGCACACAGCAGGAAGUGGCAGACUGGAAUUUGAAUCCUGCAAUGUGACUGCUUCUGGCAGGUGGGGAGGAAAUGCUCAUACACUGAGAUGGGAGCAGAAGAACCUGAGAAUAAAUGAUGUGCUGGAGUCCCUGCUUUAUCCAGGCACCACUGAUAGCCACUCGGUCUCGCCCACAGCCAGUGUCAUGGGAACUUGGAAAGAGGUCAUUUCUGUCAGUGACUAAUUAGCCUGGGGAGAGAGCUGCCAUUCCCUGCAGCUAUGCCCCACGCUGCCCAGACAGAGGACGCCAGGAGGUGUGUUUGCUCCAUCCAGUGGACAGUGCCCUGGGGGCUCUCCCAGCUGCAAGAUGCAGAAUCAUCAUCCUCGGUGGGGUGCAGCUGGCGAAGGGCAGGAUGAUAGGAAAACGUAACAAAGGGCGUUCAAACCAGGACCCACCCCGCAAAUUGGUAUCCGUUCCAUGCCGUUCAUGGCCGACUGAGUUUAUGU